AGCAAGCAGGAGAUUCUUGCUUAUUAUGCUUCUUUCAUGCCUGACGGUAUGCGAGAGGAGCUUAUGGAGGUUGCUCGCU
rnacentral:rRNA from 1 species